ACUGUCAGUGCAGAGCCGCACGUGGGGCUUGAACUCAAGAGACUGUGAGAUCAUGACCUGAAGCGAAACCAAGAGGCCGACGCUUAACUGUCUGAGACAUCCAGGCGCCCCUGGAAUCUGUAUCUUCAUAAACAGUCCAGGUUAUUCUGUUGGUCUGCAGCCCGUACUUCGAGAACACUGCUGUAGGCAAUGGAAGCCGUCGAAAAGAUUAUUUGCAGAUUUCAGUUACCACCAUCACGCAGUCCUGACACAGAUGAUCUCUCCUGACUUGGGUCGGGGGGCGGUAGUAGCCUAAUGCUACGUCACAUCUACGUUAUUCACGUCCCACCAUCUCCUCACACAGGCAAAUUUUAUCAUCUCACAUGGUCCCAAGAAGAAAGUUUGAAUGAUUCCAGGAAGUAACUAGCAGCACGUUGAACAUGUUCACAGUGGAGUGGAGAGAUAUGGAAGCCAAACAACUGAGGAUAAUCAAUGAAUGAAAAGAAAAAAAUAAUGUUUUCUCCAAUACACUAAAUGAAAAAAAUGAUUGAAGGGGAUCUCUUCUGAAAACUCUAGAACUGGAAAAUAUUUAGAAACCAGAAUGAGUGAAACUUCAAAAAUAUUUCUCACCACAACUGACAUGUCAAGUGAUCGUGGCCAGAUGAUCAUCAACAAGGGCAUUUUCUAAGAGGCUUUGAGAAAGAGGACUGCAGAAUAAAUAUCCCAGAAAGACAAUAAUGUAGCAGCUUAGAUAAAAUGCUACAGAAAUAAAGAAAACAUUCUACAAGUAAGCACUAUGAAUUGAUGGAAAUCUUUUGAGUAUUGGUGUUCUCCUCAGAGAGAAUAAACUGGUCUUUGUUGCUGAAAUGUUAACCCAUACAUAUUUAAGUUUAUGUCUUCAAAGAAGGAGAACUGGGAGGACAGAGCAACCACAGUAAAAGGCUUCCAAGCCUUCUGGUGAUGUAUUAUUAAUUUGCCGCAUUUGCCAGGCCAACUCCAUGUCUGUAAUUCAACAGCCCCCUUCAUUGUAUCAGUGAUGAUUCCACAGCAUCCACACACCAGCAGAGAAUGAAAAGCAUUACAAUCCAUGAAGAAUAUUUCUACACUAGAGAUAAAAAUAAAACAAGGAGUUAAAAUGUAAAAACUCAAUGGAAAAGCUACUUGAAAGAGGUGAUUAAUUUGGCUAUCAACAGUGAUCAUCCUUUCCUCCAAGUUAAUUUUAAUAACAGCCAUCCUAACAGAAUGAAGAAGAAAAGAAGAAUGUUUGCAAAUAACACUACAAAAAUUUGUCACUAGCCCAUCUGCAUUACAAGAAGUGCUAAAGGAACUUGUUCAGUAUGAAGAAAAUGAUACCCAAUGAAAGCUUGUAUGUUCAGGAUGGAAACAAGAGAAUAAAAAAUGAAUCUAGGGAAAGAAAAGGGCAACUAGCAUGCCUGCUCCCUAUGUAUGAGGAUAUAGAGAAGAACUCAUGGAAACUGGAAAAACUGAUGCUUGGAGAUACAUCAGACAUCUGGACUGGAGCAUUCAAUGAACCUUGUUCCAAAGACACGACUGCAUGGGUCUUUCCUGUAUAGAGUUCCAGAACAUAUUAAAAUAGAGACAAAAGGGAAAUAAGGAAAAUACGUUUAAAAUUUGACAAAUUGUCAGCAUUAUCAAGAACAAUUUCAAGGUCUUUCUAUGUAGACAAACUAUCACUGCUACUCUGUUCACAUGGUGAUAACGAUGCCAUAAUUCCAGAGGUUUUACUUCUUCAUUCAAGAGAUCAGCCUAUGUAAGGAUGAAAGUCUUGAAACUAACUCUAGAUUUCUAAGAGAGGAAUUUGAUUAGCCAUAUUUAAGUCAGGGACUCCCCGUGGUCCAAGCAUCCACCAACAGGAGCAUGGAGUUACGCUGUUCAAAUACGGUUGCCAUCUCCUGUACCUAUGACUCUGGGGAUGGGGACUGGGAAUGGCAGGAGUUCCUAGAUAAGACAGGUUAAUUCUGAAUUCACUUUUUCUUUCAAUAAUUAUGUUGGGACUUUCUAUAUGUUCAGAACUGGGGAUAUGAUUCUGAAAAGGAUACUUCUUACCCUCACAAACAUUUCUAUCUAGUUAGGUGUAUUGGGACAGGGAGGUGGCUGGUGAGGAUUGGGUUCUAUGUAAAUUGUCUUUGUAAUAAAUGCAACAAGUGAUAUUAUGGAGGCAAAAAAAAAGGUGUUAUGGUAGUAAAGGAGAAGACAUAUCUCACUCAGGCUGGGAGGUGAGUGAUGUCUUCUUGUGAAAAAUGACAUCUAUACUAAGACUACAGACAUGCAUAAGCGUUAGCCUGGUCAAAUAGAUGGAAGUGAAAUAUAAUAGAAAUGACUCUUAUGUUUAUAUAGACACAAAGAUAAUGUUGACGGAUCUAAAACAAAGUAAUAUUAGAAUAUUGAUGGGUAUCUCAGCUUGGGUUUCCCAAAUAUCAGAUCCCGAGAUAAGACAAAAUUAGUCCUCUGUGCUGGCAGCGUUCUUAACAGGUUCUUCCAACAAGGAUGUCCAACAGCCGAUUUGCAUAACAGAUUUGCAUUCUUCCAGUGUAGCCCAGCGGGAAAAUAGCACUUUUUCCUCAGUGGUUUCCCUGGAACAGUACAACGUUCCAGGGCUGACUCUAAUGAGAAUGCUUUGGGCCAUUGAGCCAAUCACCAUAGACAAACACCCAGAAUAUUCUGGUCAGGGAUUGGGGAAGGCCCCGUUUGUAUCACAUGACCAAAUAGUGGGUAAGGAGGAGCAAUUCUUGAAAAGAUAUCACGGAACUAUUACCUGAAAAGAGAAUGAAUGCUAGGCAGGCAAAAUCCACAGAUGUCUGCUAAAAUUUGGGAUGACAUUCCUUUAAUAUUUAUUUUAUAUGUGGAGGUGUGAUGUAUUAUAUGGACUUAGCAACAAAGCACUUUUUUUGCUUAAUAGAGUUGAUCCUAUAACUCUCUUCUCUCAGAGUAGUAACUUGUGCAUAAAGGAUUAUGGUAAAGAGUAAAAACACACGUUGGUUUUUAGUAUACCAUAAAAAUUCACACAGAAAGAGAAUAGUGAUUCUUAACUCAUAAUGGUUCACAGAUGUUUUUUUCACAGAAAUUUUUGAGAAUCCGAUGAAUUCAACAGACUUGCUCCAUAGAACAUUUUUUUUUUUUUUUUGGUUUUUGGUACAUACAAACUUCUUUUGA